GACGAACGCUGGCGGCGUGCUUAACACAUGCAAGUCGAACGGAAAGGCCCUGCUUUUGUGGGGUGCUCGAGUGGCGAACGGGUGAGUAACACGUGAGUAACCUGCCCUUGACUUUGGGAUAACUUCAGGAAACUGGGGCUAAUACCGGAUAUGAGCUCCUGCUGCAUGGUGGGGGGUGGAAAGUUUCGGCGGUUGGGGAUGGACUCGCGGCUUACUAGCUGGUUGGUGGGGUAGUGGCUUACCAAGGCUUUGACGGGUAGCCGGCCUGGGAGGUUGACCGGCCACAUUGGGACUGAGAUACGGACCAGACUCCUACGGGAGGCAGCAGUGGGGAAUAUUGCACAAUGGGCGGAAGCCUGAUGCAGCAACGCCGCGUGCGGGAUGACGGCCUUCGGGUUGUAAACCGCUUUCGCCUGUGACGAAGCGUGAGUGACGGUAAUGGGUAAAGAAGCACCGGCUAACUACGUG
rnacentral:rRNA from 1 species